rnacentral:rRNA from 1 species
GAUGAACGCUGGCGGCGUGCCUAAUACAUGCAAGUCGAGCGAACUGAUUAGAAGCUUGCUUCUAUGACGUUAGCGGCGGACGGGUGAGUAACACGUGGGCAACCUGCCUGUAAGACUGGGAUAACUUCGGGAAACCGAAGCUAAUACCGGAUAGGAUCUUCUCCUUCAUGGGAGAUGAUUGAAAGAUGGUUUCGGCUAUCACUUACAGAUGGGCCCGCGGUGCAUUAGCUAGUUGGUGAGGUAACGGCUCACCAAGGCAACGAUGCAUAGCCGACCUGGGAGGGUGAUCGGCCACACUGGGACGGAGACACGGCCAAGACUCCUACGGGAGGCAGCAGUAGGGAAUCUUCCGCAAUGGACGAAAGUCUGACUGAGCAACGCCGCGUGAGUGAUGAAGGCUUUCGGGUCGUAAAACUCUGUUGUUAGGGAAGAACAAGUACGAGAGUAACUGCUCGUACCUUGACGGUACCUAACCAGAAAGCCACGGCUAACUACGUGCCAGCCGCCGCCGUAA